rnacentral:rRNA from 1 species
GACGAACGCUGGCGGCGUGCUUAACACAUGCAAGUCGAACGGAAAGGCCCUGCUUUUGUGGGGUGCUCGAGUGGCGAACGGGUGAGUAACACGUGAGUAACCUGCCCUUGACUUUGGGAUAACUUCAGGAAACUGGGGCUAAUACCGGAUAGGAGCUCCUGCUGCAUGGCGGGGGUUGGAAAGUUUCGGCGGUUGGGGAUGGACUCGCGGCUUAUCAGCUUGUUGGUGGGGUAGUGGCUUACCAAGGCUUCGACGGGUAGCCGGCCUGAGAGGGUGACCGGCCACAUUGGGACUGGGAUGGCGCCCAGACUCCUACGGGCGGCAGCGGUGGGGAAUAUUGCACGAUGGGCGGAGGCCUGAUACAGCAACGCCGCGUCCUGGAUCACUGCCUUCGGGUUGUAAACCGCUUUCGCCUGUGACGAAGCUUGAGUGACGGUAAUGAGUAAAAAAGCACCGGCUAACUACGUG